GAUGAACGCUGGCGGCGUGCUUAACACAUGCAAGUCGAACGGAAAGGCCCCUGUUUGCAGGGGUUCUCGAGUGGCGAACGGGUGAGUAACACGUGAGUAACCUGCCCUGCACUUGGGGAUAACUCGGGGAAACUGGGCCUAAUACCGGAUAGGAUCUCCUCCUGCAUGGUGGGGAGGGAAAGUUUUCGGUGUGGGUUGGGUUCGCGGGCUCUCAGCUGGUUGGGGGGGUAGUGGCGUUCAAAGGCGUCGACGGGUAGCCGGCCUGGGAGGGUGGACGGCCACAUUGGGACUGAGAUACGGCCCAGACUCCUACGGGAGGCAGCAGUGGGGAAUAUUGCACAAUGGGCGCAAGCCUGAUGCAGCGACGCCGCGUGCGGGAUGACGGCCUUCGGGUUGUAAACAGCUUUCGCUUGUGACGAAGCGCGAGUGACGGUACCUGGCGAAGAAGCACCGGCUAACUACGUG
rnacentral:rRNA from 1 species